AGUGAACGCUGGCGGCAGGCCUAACACAUGCAAGUCGAGCGGCUGAAGAGUACUUGCUCGUGCUUACAGGUGCGGACUGGCGGGUAAGGCAUAAAAAUCUGCCAGUUAGCUUUGUCUAACGUGCGGAAACGGGGGCUCAUACCGCAUUCGUCCUUAGGAAGAAAGGGGGGGAUCAUGGGACCUUCGGCUCUCGCAUGAUCCUAGGUCGGAUUAGCUAGUUGGUGGGGUAAAGGCCCACCAAGGCGACGAUCCGUAGCUGGUCUGAGAGGAUGAUCAGCCACACUGGAACUGAGACACGGUCCAGACUCCUACGGGAGGCAGCAGUGGGGAAUAUUGGACAAUGGGCGCAAGCCUGAUCCAGCCAUGCCGCGUGUGUGAAGAAGGUCUUCGGAUUGUAAAGCCCUUUUAUUUGGGAGGAAAAGCAGUAAGUUAAUACCUCGCUGUUCUGACGUUACCAAAAGAAUAAGCACCGGCUAACUUCGUG
rnacentral:rRNA from 1 species